CAGCUAACCAUGUGGAUAAGCUUCCUGGCCCAAGAGAUUGGGUACAGAUUCUACAGGAUCAAAUUAAACUGGCCAGAAGAAGGUUAAAAAGAGGCUCAGAGAUCGCGGACAGUGAUGAAAGACUGGACGGCAUUGCUCUACCACCAACAGGAAAAAAAGCCUGAGGCCCAGAAACAUUAAGUGGCUUUCCCACGGCCUCACAGCUGGUUGACGGCCUGGCCGGAACCCAGGUCCCUCGACUCCCAGCCAUGAUACCAUAUAGCUUUCUCAUACCUAAGCCAAAGCCAGCUUUUCUCUGCAUGUUUCUUAAAGAUCCUAAGAGAUGAUGGAUGUGCUAAUCCCUUUAGGAGUCCUCUUCACUGUCUCAGUCUUCACAAUUAAAAUGUUCGUCGUCAGUCGGCCCGGUUCACUGCAGCUGAAA
rnacentral:lncRNA from 1 species